CCUACGGGUGGCAGCAGUGAGGAAUAUUGGUCAAUGGCCGGAAGGCUGAACCAGCCAUGCCGCGUGAAGGUCAGUGCCCUAUGGGCGUUAAACUUCUUUUGUGCGGGAGCAAUAAUGGUCACGUGUGGCCAGACGAGAGUACCGUACGAAUAAGCAUCGGCUAACUCCGUGCCAGCAGCCGCGGUAAUACGGGGGAUGCAAGCGUUAUCCGGGCUUUUUGGGUUUAAAGGGUGCGUAGGCUGGGAGGUAAGUCAGCGGUGGAAUGCCCGCGCUCAACGGGGUAAAGUGCCAUUGAUACUGGCUUGCUGGAAUGCGGAUGAGGUGGGAGGAAUGUGUGGUGUAGCGGUGAAAUGCAUAGAUAUCACACAGAACACCGAUUGCGAAGGCAUCUCACGAAUCCGCGAUUGACGCUGAUGCACGAAAGCGUGGGUAUCAAACAGGAUUAGAUACCCGUGUAGUC
rnacentral:rRNA from 1 species